UGGAAGAGAGAGAAAUCUAGAAAGUAAUAAUGAUGCUAGAGAUAUUUUGAUAUUUUAUAAUUAUUUAAUUAGAUAAAUAUUAUUUUAUUAAUACUUUAAUAAGAUAUUUUAUUAUUAUUUUAUUAGUAUAUAAAGAAAGAAAGAAGAGAAAUUCUCAUCCAUAUUUUCCCAUGCACUAACGUGAGAGAAAGAGAGGAAGAAAGAAAGUUUUGCUUUCUUUACAAUUUGGUCAUUUUACAAAAAAUUCACCAUUU
rnacentral:lncRNA from 1 species